GAUGAACGCUGGCGGCGUGCCUAAUACAUGCAAGUCGAACGGAGAGCAGCAAUGUUCUUAGUGGCGAACGGGUGAGUAACGCGUUGGUGACCUGCCCCAAAGAGGGGGAUAACAGCUCGAAAGGGCUGCUAAUACCCCAUGUGGUCUUUCAGGUUAGAGGCUGAGAGACGAAAGGAGCAAUCCGCGUUGGGAGGGACCUGCGUCCCAUCAGCUAGUUGGUGAGGUAACGGCUCACCAAGGCGGCGACGGGUAGGGGGCCUGAGAGGGUGACCCCCCACACUGGCACUGAAACACGGGCCAGACACCUACGGGUGGCAGCAGUAGGGAAUAUUGCACAAUGGGCGCAAGCCUGAUGCAGCAACGCCGCGUGCGCGAUGAAGGCCUUCGGGUCGUAAAGCGCUUUUCUGGAGGACGAGGAAGGACGGUACUUCAGGAAUAAGGAUCGGCUAACUACGUGCCAGCCGCCGCCGUAAUAC
rnacentral:rRNA from 1 species